AUUGAACGCUGGCGGCAGGCCUAACACAUGCAAGUCGAACGAGUGGCGGACGGGUGAGUAAUGUCUGGGAAACUGCCUGAUGGAGGGGGAUAACUACUGGAAACGGUAGCUAAUACCGCAUACCAUCAGAUGUGCCCCGCUGGGAUUAGCUUGUUGGUGGGGUAACGGCUCACCAAGGCGACGAUCCCUAGCUGGCCUGCGAGGAUGCCCAGCCACACUGGAACUGGGACACGGUCCAGGAGCCUACGGUGGGCAGCAGUGGGGGAUAUUGGGCAAAGGGCGCAAGCCUGAAGCAGCCAUGCCGCGUGUGUGAAGAAGGCCUUCGGGUUGUAAAGGACUUUCGGCAGGGAGGCGUUACCCGCAGAAAAAGCCCCGGCUGACUCCGUGCCAGCAGCCGCGGUAAUAC
rnacentral:rRNA from 1 species